AUCGAACGCUGGCGGCAGGCCUAACACAUGCAAGUCGAACGAGUGGCGGACGGGUGAGCAAUGUAUGGGAAACUGCCUGAUGUAGGGGGAUAACUACUGGAAACGGUAGCUAAUACCGCAUACCAUCAGAUGUGCCCAGAUGGGAUUAGCUAGUUGGUGGUGUAACGGCUCACCAAGGCGACGAUCACUAGCUGGUCUGAGAGGAGGACCAGCCACACUGGGACUGAGACACGGUCCAGACUCCGACGGGAGGCAGCAGUGGGGAAUAUUGCACAAUGGGCGCAAGCCUGAUGCAGCCAUGCCGCGUGUAUGAAGAAGGCCUUCGGGUUGUAAAGUACUUUCAGCGGGGAGGCGUUACCCGCAGAGGAAGCACCGGCUAACUCCGUGCCAGCAGCCGCGGUAAUUC
rnacentral:rRNA from 1 species